GGAAUGAGAAAGCUCUAGUAAGAAACUACAAACACGGAUUCUCAGGCUUCGCAGCUCAUCUAUCAAAAGAAGAAGCAAACUCAAUUGCUCAACAACCUGGUGUUGUUUCUGUCUUCCCUGAUCCCAUUCUCAACCUUCACACUACACGUUCAUGGGAUUUCCUCGACUUACAAACUCAUGUCAAAAUCAACACUCACUCAGAUUCUUCUUCUUCUUCUUCAUCCAACGUCGUAAUUGGCAUACUAGACACAGGUUGUAUAAGAUACAAUGUUAGUUAAUUAGAGUAAUUAGUAUGUGAUUAAUAUUGUUUUUAAUAUGUUGGUUAAAAGUUAGGAGUAUUUAAGUAUUGAUAUAAAAAAAGAAUAUAUUCAGGGAUAUGGCCAGAAGCAGCAAGUUUUUCAGACAAGGGAAUGGAUCCUAUACCAGCCAGUUGGAAAGGCAGUUGCAUGAAUUCAAAAGACUUCAACUCAUCCAACUGUAACAGGUAAAUAACUUUUCACACCCAAAAGCAUAUAGUAAAAAACAUAGAUGAAUUAAAUGUUAUUCGAAUAUGCAUUAGGAAAAUAAUAGGAGCAAGGUGUUAUUACCAUGAAAGUGAAGGAGACGAUAGCACGGCAAGGGAUAUAGUUGGACAUGGGACCCACACAGCAUCGACGGCGGCAGGGAUCCCCGUGAGUGAUGCGUCUUACUACGGUGUGGCAUCAGGGACAGCAAAAGGUGGGUCCCCUGAAUCAAGGCUAGCAAUAUACAAAGUGUGCUUUAAAGAGUUUGGGUGUUCUGGAUCCGCCAUCCUUGCGGCGUUUGAUGAUGCAAUUUAUGAUGGUGUGGAUGUACUUUCGGUUUCGCUUGGAGAACAUUCAUACGAUUUGACAACCGAUCCGGUUGCAAUAGGAGCUUUCCACGCAGUUGAACGUGGCAUUCUCGUUGUUUGCUCCGCGGGGAAUUCAGGACCCCACAACAGAACGGUUCUUAACGAUGCUCCUUGGAUUUUUACUGUUGGAGCUACCACUAUUGACCGUGAUUUGCAGUCUAAUGUUCUUUUGGGUAGUAAUAAAGUUAUCAAGGUACAUUUUAUAACGCUCAUUAUGCAAUUUUCAAAUUGGUACAUGAGUUAUGGCACAUGUGUUGAUGCAUGGUAAUUAAUUGUCAUACUUCAGGGUCGAGCCAUUAAUUUCUCCCCACUUUCAAAAUCUGCUGAUUAUCCAUUGGUAUACGGCUACUCUGCCAAGACGAGUUCUAGUGACUUAGAUGAAGCUAGGUAUGUAUGCAAAAUUGACAAAUAAUAAAAUUAAGAUUUUGAAGUUGGACAGUAACAUCUUUUUUUUUUGUGUGAAAUGCAGGCAGUGUUACGAAAAUUCUUUAGAUGAAACAAAAGUGAAAGGAAAGAUUGUCGUUUGCGAUGGCAUAGAUGACUAUAAUUUAGCCUUCAACAAAACUAACACGGUGCAAAAGGUGGGUGGAAUAGGUAUUAUUCAUAUUACUGACCAAGAUGGAGGAGAUGCAAUAUAUUAUGGUGACUUUCCAUCAACUGAAGUAAUUCCAAAAGAUGCUGCCACAAUCCUCCAGUAUAUCAAUUCAACCAGGUAACCAUUUUUUAAGUUUUUCUCAUGACAAAUAAACUUAGUAAACAAUCUUACUAAUUUAUAACCAAACAAUGUUUAUUUUAGAAUUUGACUAAACUAGAUAUUAGUCCCUAAAAAUGCGAAACUCGUCACUUGUCACUAAAUGUGUUGAAAUUAUAAACACUAGCGUCUAUGCUAAUUUGUCUGCAUUUGUAUUGCGCUAACAUAUGUCAAUCAUUAACAAUAAUUUUUUGUAACUUUUUUUUUUUAAUUUUAAAUUUGUGCCAAUUAAAUGAGUGAAUUUGGUUAAAUAUGAUUAAUAAAAAUUGAAUAUUCACGUUAAUGUUAUUGUAUUUUUACAUAUAAUAAUCUGAAGCAAUCCAGUGGCAACAAUUCUACCAACAGUUACAGUCUUGGAUUAUAAACCUGCACCUAUGGUGGCAAUGUUUUCAUCUAGAGGGCCUUCAUACCUUUCAAAGAAUAUUCUCAAGGUUAGCCUAAUAAUAAUACCAUAAACUUUAUAAUAUCAAUGCUUGCUCAACACUAAACAAGACCAGUUUCUUUGUGUGUAGCCUGAUAUUGCAGCACCAGGUGUUGGUAUUCUUGCAGCAUGGUUUGGCAAUGACACGAGCGAGGUUCCAAAAGGUCAAAAGCCCUCACCAUUUAAAAUUGUCUCAGGGACUUCCAUGUCAUGCCCGCAUGUUUCAGGCCUUGCAGCCAGCAUCAAAGCUCGAAAUCCUUCAUGGAGUAUCUCUGCAAUCAGAUCAGCCAUCAUGACAUCAGGUCAGGCUUUUCAUUUUUACACAAAUGAAUCAUCAAUUUAGUCUCCAAGUAUUGUAUAGUUCAAUCCUAAAAAUUCUAAAAUGAUUUCUGAAACAAAAAAUUAUCGACCACACCAGUCAUUUUAAGUCAAUUGAUUAGGUCUUUAAAAAUUGUCCCACAUGCAGAGACUGAUGCGAUCAAAGAUUUUUAAAUUUUAUAGAUCAUUUUAAAUUUCGCCAAUUUAACUACUACAAUUUCACAUAUUAGAUUGAUUAUUCACUUAGGGGUAAGAUCUUCUCCAUUUGUCACUAUUUCCAUUUCAUCAAUUACUGCAGUUUUUGAUGUAUAAAUGCACAUGUUUUGAAUAUUGUGUCAUUUAUCUUGUAUAAUUAAACUUUUAUACACUCAACAUUAGCAACGGAGCUUUCAAUUUCUUUUUUUGAGAAAUGAGAGGAUCCCUGCACAUUCACUCCAGGUAAUGUAAUCCUAGGUUAGAUAUGAUUAUAAUAUCUAUCUAGCAACUCAUAAGCUCCAAUUUUUCUAAAUGCAGCAAAUCAAAUUAACAAUAUGAAUGCUCCAAUUACAACGGAUUCAGGAUCAGUUGCAACACCCUAUGACUUUGGAGCAGGGGAAAUAACAACAUCUGAACCAUUUCAACCCGGGCUAGUUUAUGAAACCACCACCGUUGACUACUUGAAUUACUUGUGUUACCUUGGAUUCAAUAUAAACACAAUUAAGGUUAUCUCCAAAACUAUCCCAAAUAGUUUCAGUUGCCCCAAGGAUUCAACUAAUGAUCAUAUUUCCAACAUCAACUACCCUUCCAUAGCAAUCUCCAACUUCAAUGGGAAAGGAACCGUGAAUGUGACUAGAACUGUUACCAACAUUGGUGAAGAGGAUGAAACUGUCUACACUCCUAUCAUCGAUGCUCCGAUUGGGGUGGAUGUUAAGUUGAUUCCAGAUAAACUUCAAUUUAAAAAAAGUAUAAAGAAAUUGAGCUUCAAAGUUGUUUUCUCGUCGACUUCAACCUUGGAGGAAGAUCUGUUUGGAUCCAUUACCUGGAGUAAUGGUAAACAUAGUGUUCGAAGUCCUUUUGUAUUAGCUAUUUAGCUAAAUUUAAAGAAAUAUGAAUAAAUGCAAGCUCAUUUCUUGUAAAUUCCUACUCAUGUGUUGUUAAUGUUAUUUACCCUUUUGUUCUAACUGACACUACACUACGAGUUAAAUUUAUGUGAUUUUCAUAGAUUUUAAGUAAGUCGAAGUAAUUUUAGGCAACUUAUUUUUUAUGGGAAAAUGUAAACCAAAAGUAAAAUUGUUUGUUUGCAUAGAUAUUACUAGUGUUUUAAAUUGUAACUCUUGGUUAGGAUAUACUUUGAACAACCUAUGAUAAAUGUAAAGUUAGCCUCAAAAUUAAUCUUAAAAGCCAUAAUAUAUGUCAUAGACUCAUUGUUAUGCUGCCAACAUCAUUUCCAAUUACAAUAUUUAUGAUCGUUAUAUUAUUACUUCUUCUUCUCGUAUGAUCAAUUUUACUGGAUAGAGUUGAACUGCCUCCACAUUAACAUGCGAUUUAGUAACUAGUUCUCGUUCUUCUAUUUUCUUCCAUGUUUGUUGAAUUUCCUUAAAAGAUUGAAAUUCCGCAUUAGGUUUAAUAGCGAGUUCUCAUUCUUCUUUUACUCGUUAUUCUAUUUUCUUCCAUUUCUAUUGGAUUUCCAUAAAGCCAUAUGGAUAAAUCAUAUUUAACUUCUAAAAUUUUAAAUUAUUCUUUAUCAGACAAAAAAAUUACUUUUUAUUUUUCGAAAUAUGCUCUUAACAAUUUACUUUAAUUGCGAUAAGAAAAAAGUCCGUUGCACUAUUUAUUUGUCACUUUCAAUAUAAAAUUCACUUUCAAACUAAAAAGAAUAAACUAAUAGUAGUUUUUUUUUCAAUUAUAUUUUCUUGGCUGUUUUGCAUGAACAAAGUCUUAUAAUAUUUGAUUUAAGUAAUUGAUAAAAAAUAAAUAAAGAAAAAUAAAUUUAAUAAUAUUAAUAAAUUUUACUUGUUAAUAUUAAUAAAUAAAGAAAAAUAAAUUUAAUAAUAUUAAUGACACGAAAUAUCACUAGCAGUCAAUGGAGCAAAAUAUGAACAAAAUAUUUUAUAAUUUAUUGUAUAAAUAUAUAUGAAUAAAAUAUAUUUUGUGGGUUUCAAAACACAUUAGUUAAAAUAUUUUCAAAACAAAAUAUGAACACAUUAGUUUCAAAACAUAUGAAAAUAUUUUGUAAAAUACAUUAGUUGUAGUUUUCAAAACAAUGGCACACAUUUAAAAUUGUUUGUUUUUAAUGCAUAAAUACAUGUGAAAAGUAUAAUACACUAAUUAUAAAUAACUAUUCAAAUAUACAAAUACUUAUAACUCAUCAAAUAGAUCAAUGAUUAAAAAACAAAAAAAUAAUUAAAAAAGAUUAUCAUUCUCAAAACCGUUUUGUUUUUUUUGCAAAGACAGAGAAACUUUCAUUCAAAUUAACCUCUACAAACACAAGGUGUGCAUACUAGGAAAAUACAUACUGUUAAAAUCCAAUUCAAUCACUAAUUACAACCACUCAAUACUAUCUAAAAUAAAACACAAAUAAAAUUCUAUUAGACCAUUCAAAAUCCAAAUAAACUUUAUUACCAUGCUCUUACCCGAUUCAAAAUUUAGGCACAAUAGCUCAUACUUCCCUUCACUUAAUUUUAGAUAACACUUCAAUUAUUAACUGUUUUUUUUCUUUUUCGAUUUGGUCAUUUAUUUAAUUUUAUUACAAAAAUUCAAAAAAUAUAUACAAUAAAAAUAUGAGUUUAUUUGAAUAUUUGAGUUAUAAAUUUUAUGAAAUUUAUAUUAUAUGGAAGAUGAUAAUUAAUUUUAUGAAUUUUAUUUGAAAAUUUUGAUGAAUUUUUUUUAAAAAAUGAUAACAUUAUUAAUAUUUUAAAACACAAAAGAUCAAAUUGUUUACUUAAAAUUAAAUAAAUGACUAAAUUAGGGAGAGAAAAAAAUAAAUGACUGAAGUGUUAUCUGAAGUUAAGUUAAAGACCACAAGAACAAUUAUGCCAAAACUUUAUUAUACAAAUUAUAACGGCCACAUAUAAAACAAAUUUUUUUUGUUUAUAAUUUCAACGAGAACAAAAUAAUAAUUACAAUAUUAAGUCCACAAAAAUUAUAUGGAUAAAAUAGUUAUUAUUUAGAUAAACCACCAUUUAAGUCUUGGAAAAUAUAAUAUGUUAUAUUUUGGUCUAAGUUAAUCAUUGAAUCAUUAAAAUGUCUAUCAGUUUAGUCUAUGAUGUUACAAUGGUCAUUGAUCUAUUUUAACAUUAAAUUAUAUCUUUAAAGAACUUUUAUAAUAAUAAAAUUGUAUCUUUCAGAUAUUAUUUUGAUUAUUCAUAUAUUAAUUUGGUUUUUUUUUUAUUGAAUCAAGAAUGAAAUCAGAGUCUUAUAUAUUUUACUAAAAUUGCAGUUUAUCAAUUUUUCUUUUAUGUAUUUUUUCAUUACUUAAUUAGAUGAUUUUGAAGAUUGCAUUUAUCAUUUAUAUCAACCAUAUUUUAUAUUUUUUUCUUCCAUAUUUUACAAUUAAAUUUAUUUUCUAAACUAUUUAUAUAUCGUCUAUCUUCGUAUAAUAAUUAAAGUCGCGUGACUUAUGCGAAUGCAUGUAUAUUUUACUAGUUACUCUUCAUAAAUAAUUUUAACAAGUGCUCGUUUAGACCGAAUUCAAUAAACUAGUGGAUAUGUUUUACCAAAAUGCUUGUCUAGUAAGAUAACGAUAAAUCUCCACAAAUUAGAAUACAGCAUGAUUAAUUUCUAGUUUGAUCACUCUUCCAUUCUCAUAAGACAAUAAUUAGACACAAUAAUUCACGCACAAGCCCACUUACAUGUCAUAAUAUAGUGAAGGUCAAUUAUGUGUGACUGAGCUUGUUAUAAUUUUUAAUUAGAAUUAACAUACCCACAAUUUUUACCAAGACAUUGAAUUAUUCAGACUAAUUGCAAAGAUAUGGAAACUUAAUCGCUGAUCAGCUGAAUCACAUGGUGUUAUUGUUAUCAUAUAUGAUGUUGCUUUAGUUUCUAAAAGAUUCCUAUAAUUAGAGAAUUUAAUUUAUGACAAGGCAAUACAUGCAGCAAGAGUUUAUAUUUUUUCUUCUUUUAAUAUGAUUUUCAUUGAUUGUUAUACGGUUUUGUGUUUUCUUCUUCUAAAAUACUCUUAUCGUAAUUGUGUUUAUAAAUCACAAUUUAAAACUAUAUGUUCAUAUAUAGUAUAUUCCCAAGCAUUGAUUACUAUAAUUUACAUUGUGUAUUCAGAAUUCGUUGCAUUUUAUCACAUGUAAAACUAACUAGUUGCUACCUCCACUUAUUGAGUGGUAGUUAUAUAUCGACUUAUCGUAUAUAUUUGUGGUUAUAGCACAAAAAAUAGUAUAUAUUUACGCAGCUUUAUAUCUUCAAAUGGGGCACUUUGCGUGGAUGAAAUGCUUCAUGCCAAUUUGCAAUGCGCAUAAGCAAUACGCAUGCAUCAACUCCACAAUAGCAUAAAUUAUAGAACUUUUAAUGGAUAUGUAUUAUCGUGUAAAAAAUAUCACACAUACAUUGAAUUAUAUCUCAUCGUUAUGUCAUUAAGUUAUAUUUGUUUUUUAAAAAGUCUUCAUAAAAUCUAUAUGGUAAAAUUUGAUGAAAUGUUAUGUAAAAUAUUUUAAGGGUUUAUAGGAUAUGUAUUGUCAUGUGAGUCAUUGAUCGUGUAAUAUUAUUGAUCGAUGAAAAUUACAAUUAUAUGGUAAAAUAAUAAAAUCAAUCAUUUUUAUUAAAUAAUACAAAUGUAAAAUUGAUUUAUACCACUUUUUUUAUGUAUAUUUUCUUUUUAUGAUGAAAAGGGGAUAAGUCCAAGCAAUACAAGAAUCAUCAUAUGUCAAUAAAACAUUGAAAUAAAAGAAGAAAAAUCCUCAAAACCCUCUAGCUUUGAAUGUGAUAAAUCAACAAUAUAUGACGAAAGCACCUACAAUAAUUGAUCAUGAAUACGAUCAUAAGAACCAAUAUACACUCUGAUUUUACAAUAAUUUAUGCUCAAAAAAUUACUCUGACACAUUAAAUUAAUUAAUUCAUCUCCGAUGGAAGUUGCUUCCACUAAAAAGAAACGAAACCAAAUUAAUAGCCACCACACAUUGGGCUAUAAGAAAUAUGAUGCCUAUUUAGACCGGUCAUAUAUUAUGUCAAUAUUGUGGGAUGAUUUGUUGAAAAUAUAAUCAUUUAAAGUUAUUUGUAAAAUCUAUUUAAUAAUUUUUUCAGAAAUAUUGAAUUGAAAGAAUUGAGUAAUUAUUAAAUGUUAAUAUUAAAAAUGUUACAAUAAUUUAUUGGGCUUAUGUAAUUAGGCCUUUUCUAUUUUUAAGUUAGUAGUUAAGUCCUUUUAUGUUUCACUAUUUACUCUCCUUGUAAUUCUUGUAUUUACAAAAAAAUUUUGUAUUCUAUAUUGUUAGAUAAUGUUAUUAUAUAUUAGUAGUAAAAGUAUUUUAGACAUUUCUAUUCUUUUAUAUAUAUACUAAUUGUAAUCCUAUUAACUUAAAUUUGGUUCAUUCUAUGUUAUGAAACCCUAGAGUGGUUGCCUCUCUUCUUCCUUUUUUCAUUGUUAACAUGAUAUCAAAGAGCUUUGGUUGAUUUUGGGAUCUAUUAUAAAGAAGAGAGAGAUUAUUUUGAUAGGAAAGACAACCACCAAAAGAGAAAAGAGAAUAGUAACCCUAUUCUCGAUUUUGUUAAAUCAGUCUCACAAAAACAUUGAUUGCGCAUUCGUUAACCGUUGGAUCGGACUGCUUUUUUGGACAGAAGGUUCGCAACAUUCAGGUCUUCGUCUUCAAUGGUCGGAUCAGCGAAACACCGUCUGUAGGAGGAGAAAUCGGGCUCGUACAUCACCAGAUUAUCUCGAAUUUAUUUUGUCUCAGUGAUUGUGUUUGUCGUAUUUUCCUGUCAUUAUUUGUUAUGGCUGGUGCUAAGGAUGAUUCUCUUCAAGCACAUUGGAAAAUACAUUGUCCAAAAUUGUGGAGAGAAGAAUUUUAGGGGGCCAUCGUCCAAUGUUGUUGCUUCUGCUCCUUCUACCAUUGGUUUGGCUCUAGUUCUGGUUCUGUAUACUCAUCUGAGAUUGUUUUCCAAAUAUCUGAUAUUGCAGAACAACUUCAAAAACUUCUUGUCACUCAAUCACAUGCUAUGUUUUCCACCUCUUCUAAAGGUUUGAACUUCUCUAGUAUGUUAGAUAUAUCUCCUUCUAUAUGGAUUCUUGAUUCAUGAGCAUUUCAUCAUAUGACAUACGAUGAUAAAUCUUUUGUGUCUGUGAAACAUGUCUCGUAUGUGUCAGUUAUGACUGCUGAUGGCACUCAUAUGCCACUAGCAGGCGUUGGUUCUGUCUCCACACAUAACAUGUCUCUUUCUGAUGUUUGUUUGUUAUGAUCAGUAUUAAGGAAUUAAUUUUGGUUUGGUUCACAUGUUUUCAAUUGUUGUGGUUCUUUUUUGAUUUGGUUGGUAAUUUAAUUGUUCGUUUCUCCUAUCUCUUUGGUUGUUUUCUUCUGUGUUGUUGCUCUCUCUUUUGCUUCUUUUGUUUGAUUGUUCCUCUCUCUAGUGAUUUGCUUUGUUGCUUCUCUCCAUAUUGAUUGUUCUAUUUGUUUGCGCUUCUCUCACGUGGUUCAUCUAUUUGGUUGUUUUUCUCUUUGUUUAGUUUGAUUUGGUGUAGUUUAGUUUGGUUUGAUAUGAUUUAGUUUUGUUUGGUUCUAUUUGGUUUGGUUUGUUUUGAUUUGGUUUCGUGGUGCUACUUCUUUGGUUGUUCCUAUCUGUUGAUUUUGAUAUUGGUUGAUUUGAGCUUUAGUUUGAGGGGUUGUUUCAAUAUUAGGAAAUUUUAGCGGAGAUGUUAAGUAGAAUGUUAUUGGGCUUUUAUAUUAUAUAUUAAGGUUUGUUUUGAUAUGGUUGUUGCUCCUUUUUUUUUAUCGCUCCUUUUUCAGUUUGAUUUUUUGUUGGCUUGGUUCUUCUCUUGAUUGUGAUUAUUUGAUAUGAUUUGUUGGUUUGGUUUCUCUCUUUAUUGUGAUUGUUUGGUAUAGCUAAUGAUCAUCUCUUUGGCUUCUGCUUCUUCUUUCGUUGCUUCUCUCUUUGUUGGUUCUUCUCUUUGAUUGUUGCUUCUUCUUUGGUGACAUCCCUCUUGUGCCCCCGGCUGUCCAACCACCUCCUGCAAUUGUUGAUCCUCUUCGUUACCCCUCUCGUAAACUUUGUCUGAGCCCUCUUCCUAUAAAGAGGUUGAUCUUGAUCCUCUUUGGCAGCAGACUACGGCAGAAGAACUAUCUGCAUUGCACAAAAUCAAUACUUGGAAAUUAGUACCCCUUCCUCCUGAAAAACGUGUUAUUGAGUCUCGUUGGGUAUACAAGAUCAAAAGUAAAUCUAAUGGGUCAGUUGAGUGCUACAAAGCACGUCUUGUUGCUAAGGAUUUCUCUCAACACUAUGGUAUGGAUCAUGAAGAAACUUUUGCUCUUGUAGCCAAGAUGACCAGUAUUCGUACUAUUCUUCUUUACAGAUUGCUGAUUUGUUCACAAAGAUGCAUUCCAUUAAACUUUUUCGUUUUUUAGUUGACAAACUCUCGAUGUUCCAUGUUAAUGCAUUGUGAGUUUGAUGGGAGAUGUUAGAUAAUGUUAUUAUAUAUUAGUAGUAAGGGUAUUUUAGACAUUUCUAUUCUUUUAUAUAUAUACUCAUUGUAAUCCUAUUAACUUAAGUUUGGUUCGUUCUAUGUUAUGAAACCCUAGAGUGAUUGCCUCUCUUCUUCCUCUUUUCAUUGUUAACAUAUAUAAUUAUUUAUAUUGUUAAAAUAUAUAUAUAUAUAUAUAUAUAUAUAUAUAUAUAUAUAUAUAUAUAUAUAUAUAUUUUGUGUGCAAAUUUCUGAUUUAUAUCUUAAUUACCGUAAAUCAUAUAAUUGGUUGCUGACACAAGAAAGCACCAACUUAAUUAUUAUUAACUUAAAAUAGACCCAUUGCUUCUUAUAUAUAUAUAUGUGUUCUAGAGUUACCAAGCAUGGUCAUCAGAAACUAAUUGAACACAAAACAGUUCAUUAAGAGAACAUAACGAUGAAGAUGAAAGGAAAUCCAAUUUUAUUGAUAGUAGUAUUAAAUUUGUUUGGUGUAAUUUGUGUUGGAGAAUCAAGAAAAUCAUCAGGUGAUAUAAGUGAAACAGAGAAUGAGAAGAAAGUAUAUAUUGUGUAUAUGGGAGCAGCUGAUUCAUCAAAUGCUUCCCUUCGCAAUGAUCAUGCUCAUCUAUUAAACAGAGUGUUAAGAAGGUAAUGAAUGAAUUAAAGCAUUAAUUGCAUGUGGAAUGAAUGAAUGAAUGAUAAUAGUAAUAAUAAUUGAAAUGUGAAAUGAAUAGGAAUGAGAAAGCUCUAGUAAGAAACUACAAACACGGAUUCUCAGGCUUCGCAGCUCAUCUAUCAAAAGAAGAAGCAAACUCAAUUGCUCAACAACCUGGUGUUGUUUCUGUCUUCCCUGAUCCCAUUCUCAACCUUCACACUACACGUUCAUGGGAUUUCCUCGACUUGCAAACUCAUGUCAAAAUCGACACUCACUCAGAUUCUUCUUCUUCUGCUUCUUCUUCUUCAUCCAACGUCGUAAUUGGCUUACUAGACACAGGUUAUUGUUUAUUGAUUAAAAAAAUUUACGUUAUAAUUUAUAGAGGACGGAGGCAUAAUUAUUUGUUGAUAUAAAAAAAAAUGAUACAUAUGUAUGUACGUGUUAAAUAACAUAGAUUCAGUAAGUGAUCCUUAUCAUGAAUUAAUUUGAUUGGUAGUGGAUUGAUUGGUUUAAUCAUUUAAUUAAUGAAAUGAAAGAAUGAAUAUAUUCAGGUAUAUGGCCAGAAGCAGUAAGUUUUUCAGACAAGGGAAUGGAUUCAAUUCCAUCCAGUUGGAAAGGCAGUUGCAUGAAAUCAAUUGAUUUUAACUCAUCCAACUGUAACAGGUAAAUAAAAAAUACAAGCACCAGGGUUGUUUAUUAUUAUUUGUGUUGUGGGGUCCAUUAGAUUAACAGCUGGCAUAAAUGUAAUUUUAAUUUUGAAUAGGAAGUUAAUAGGAGCAAGGUAUUACCCAAACCCUGACCAGAAAGAUGACCCGGACAACACGCCAAGGGAUACAUAUGGACAUGGGACCCACACGGCGUCGACGGCGGCAGGU
rnacentral:lncRNA from 1 species